ACAUACGACCAUAGGGUGUGGAAAAUAGGGCUUCCCGUCCGCUCAGCCGUACUCAAGCCACACGCCGGGAGGUUAGUAGUUGGGUGGGUGACCACCAGCGAAUCCCUUCUGUUGUAUGUA
rfam:Aspergillus niger supercontig An11